rnacentral:tRNA from 1 species
GGAGAGAUGGCCGAGUGGUUUAUGGCUCCGGUCUUGAAAACCGGCAUGGUGAAAACUAUCGAGGGUUCGAAUCCCUCUCUCUCCU